CGUGUAGGUGGUCUGAUAAGUCAGGUGUGAAAGCCCCUGGCUCAACCAGGGAAGUGCAUUUGAAACUAUCAGACUUGAGUACGGGAGGGGGAAGUGGAAUUCCUGGUGUAGAGGUGAAAUUCGUAGAUAUCAGGAGGAAUACCGGUGGCGAAGGCGACUUCCUGGACCGAUACUGACACUGAGACGCGAAAGCGUGGGGAGCAAACAGGAUUAGAUACCCUGGUAGUCCACGCCGUAAACGAUGGGCACUAGGUGUAGCGGGUAUUGACCCCUGCUGUGCCGAAGCUAACGCAUUAAGUGCCCCGCCUGGGGAGUACGACCGCAAGGUUAAA
rnacentral:rRNA from 1 species